UCUGAAUAAUUCCAUUGUUCCUUGUAUGGCAAUUCCCUUAUCAGUUUUCGACCUAUAUAACGGCCCUGUAUCCCUCAUGAUAUUCAUAAGUUCAUCGACAGCCACUGCGUAAACAAGUGCUUCCAGAUCAAGACUGUGACCAAGCUCCUCCAAAGCAAAGACCCGAACAUCAACGUCCGCUCUCUGCUCUGCUGAAUCGUGACUCCUGAAUAAGACUCUACAAGAUGCAAAAUCUCAUGCUGCUCUGUAUGGCUAUGUUCCUGGCGGCGGAUGCGUGGCCAGAACCCGGGACGAAGUUGCCCUGCAAUCCAAGACAAUACACCGAUCCCACGAGGUCCUGCUCAAAAGAGGAACCACCGGAAGCACACCAAAAGGUUGUCAAGAUUCCAGGCAUCCUGUCGACCCGAAUAGGAUUCCUUGACGGCCCAGAUCUGAAUCAACGUUGGCCCUUUGAAUAUAGAGUUGUUGUGCCUGACCGUGCUUAAGAUUUUUGUUAUGU